GGGAGCUUCGAAACAUCUGCCAAAACAAGCCAACAAGAGGGCUCCGGAGCAUGUUCAAGUGAGUGCCAAUGAGGCAACUUCAAAAAAUGUUGAUUCGGACAAGUAUUUGGAGUCUAUUCAGUUUUUCGCUUCAUAUGCUGCGAUUAUGGAGUAUGAAGAUACCAUGCUCAUUAUAGAAGGGCAUAUUUGGUGUCGAGCUUGAGUUUUCACUUACAAGAGAAGACAUGGAGUUCAUUUGUCAAUUUAAAGAAUUAUCUAUCUCAUGCAUAAUGUUGUACAUCAAAUAUAUGUACAUAAGUACUUUGAUGGCUGAACUCCAAGAUUUUACACUUCAAAUGUUUAUAUCAAUUGUUUCUUUCUCUGUCAGUUAUCUUCAUGUGGCUAUAAAGGAAACCAAUUUGGAUACUAGAUUUCUAUUCGUUAACCCCUCCAGCCUCAGUGGAAAAUUCAAGGCUGGUGAAGUCUCAAAAGCAACAAUGCUGUCAAAUAGACUACAGGAAGCCAAGGCUGGCCAACUAGUUUUUGUUCCUUACAAUUUGGAAUUAGUAUUGGUUCUAUUUGUUAUUCCAUGAAUAGUUUGAUUAUAUGAGUGCCGUACUUGUGCUCAAACUUUGUCUUGAUUAAUU